GAGUACAGUUUUGUUAAGGGAUCGUUUUUAUAGUUUGUAACAAGGAAUGAGUGGUUGAAAGUGUCUAAUCUUGCUAAUUACUAGGAGAAGUUAGUGUCUCUUUUGAAUACAAAGGGAGCAGACAGUGUUGCCUUAAUGCAGCUGUAAUCUGCUAUUGAUAACGGUUCUUGCUUUCUUUUUGGAAAACCAGGAGGAAGAGAACGUGGACUGAGUGAU